rnacentral:rRNA from 1 species
GACGAACGCUGGCGGCGUGCUUAACACAUGCAAGUCGAACGAAGUGGCGAACGGGUGAGUCAAGCGUAAUCAACCUGCCCUUCAGAGGGGGACAACAGUUGGAAACGACUGCUAAUACCGCAUACUGAAGGAUGGGAUUGAGUCUGAUUGGCUAGUUGGAGGGGUAACGGCCAACCAAGGCGAUGAGCAGUAGCCGGUCUGAGAGGAUGAACGGCCACAUUGGGACUGAGACACGGCCCAGACUCCUACGUGAGGCAGCAGUGGGGAAUUUUCCGCAAUGGACGAAAGUCUGACGGAGCAACGCCGCGUGAGUGAUGACGGCCUUCGGGUUGUAAAGCUCUGUUAAUCGGGACGCGGUACCGGAAUAGAAAGCCACGGCUAACUACGUGCCAGCCGCCGCGGUAAUUC